rnacentral:rRNA from 1 species
AAAUUGAAGAGUUUGAUCAUGGCUCAGAUUGAACGCUGGCGGCAGGCCUAACACAUGCAAGUCGAACGGUAACAGGAAGCAGCUUGCUGCUUCGCUGACGAGUGGCGGACGGGUGAGUAAUGUCUGGGAAACUGCCUGAUGGAGGGGGAUAACUACUGGAAACGGUGGCUAAUACCGCAUAACGUCGCAAGACCAAAGAGGGGGACCUUCGGGCCUCUUGCCAUCAGAUGUGCCCAGAUGGGAUUAGCUUGUUGGUGAGGUAACGGCUCACCAAGGCGACGAUCCCUAGCUGGUCUGAGAGGAUGACCAGCCACACUGGAACUGAGACACGGUCCAGACUCCUACGGGAGGCAGCAGUGGGGAAUAUUGCACAAUGGGCGCAAGCCUGAUGCAGCCAUGCCGCGUGUAUGAAGAAGGCCUUCGGGUUGUAAAGUACUUUCAGCGGGGAGGAAGGUGUUGCGGUUAAUAACCGCAGCAAUUGACGUUACCCGCAGAAGAAGCACCGGCUAACUCCGUGCCAGCAGCCGCGGUAAUACGGAGGGUGCA